AAGGAGCAGAAAGAGCCGGAUCAAUACUAAAAUGCUGAUGCAAGGCCCCAUUACUGAAGUUCUGAAUCUUACAUAUCUCACUGACCGUGGAAAAGUUAAGCUGGUGCCUAACUCGAGCCUUUACCCCCGGUGACUAGUGUUCAUGGAACUGGAUGGUAUCCUGGUACUCAGCAUGCCACCAGCGGAGAAAGGGUGGUAUUAGUGACCCUCCAUAUGGCUGCUCUUCAUGAUAACGAUGGAAUGGAAGCAGCCUCUAUGUCCAUUAACUGACUGAUGGGAGUGAGCGUGGGAUAGUUAUACAAUGGAAUAGCAUCCUGCUCUUACGAAGAAUGGAAUUUGCAGCUAAAUGGAUGGAACUGGAACCUGCUAGACCUUUGGAUGAAGACAUAGAAUUCUCAGCUCCUCCUGUGCCAUGCCUGCCUGGAUUCUGCCAUGCUCCCACCUUGAUGAUAAUGGACUGAACCUCUGAACCUGGUCCUGUUUGCAAUGGAAACUUGAGUGUUCUUGGGCAAGCCAGUUGUGUUUGUUACUUGUGUGCCGGGGCAAACAAGUAAAGGAGUGUUUUCCUGAAGUGGAUACAGGUGAAAGACUAAGGCAGACUCGUGAAGGAACACUGCUUUGAAGAAGACACAGGAGAAAGGAUGUUCUGCUAAAGCAAGCCCGUGAAAGGACAUGUGAUGAAGGAUUCUUUGUUAAUGACACACAUGUAUUGGUCUGCCUUACACUGUAAUUGAGCUCCAUUUACUUGUUGGGACUCCAUAACUUCUGGUGCAGUGCUGUAGUUUCUUGCCUCGUCUGUGGACUGGGGCUGUUUGGCAGAGUGAUGUCAGCUGAGACAGACUCAUGUGUUGAGGCAAGACAGGUGGAGGUCGUGUGAUGAUUGAUGGCUUGCUGGUACAGCUAGCUGUGCAAUGUUUGUGGGUCUCUUAUCUUCACUGAUCUUUGCUUUCCUGAGAAAGGCACAGCCAAGAACUUCUCCUGACACUCCUCUGCGUCCCUCCUGCUAACUUGAGCUGAGGCUGAGGCCUGGCUGUCUCUGCUAGGGCAUGUCACUGCUGUUGCUAACCUGACCCUACCAAAGUGGACUGCUGGUAUAUUCAUGAAGUAUUUGCAAGUGGAUGGAGCUGCCGCUGCCUGCUAACCUAUGAGCUGAACUGCUGAUUUCCAUACAACGCAGAUUGGAAUUGCUCCAAAGAACCUUUCUAAACAGGUCAUUCAGUAACUCCAAGAGUCGAUCUGCACUGAGUGGGGUCGGGCUAGGCCAACAAGAAGCCAACUAUCCUGUGAGGAGUGCGGUGGAACCUCAGGUGGCUCUUUGGGAGAGAAGAUCUCUUCCCACCUGUUACAGCUCUUGGAACAAAAGACUCAGAGAUGGAGUAGUACUUGCACACAGGGUUCGACAGCAGGUACCUCUUAUUGUCUUGGACUGAGAGUUUGGGGGAAACCUUAAUUGCAUGUGGGAAGGCUUGAUGCUGCUCCUAAGUGACCGAUAGCCACACACCUCUCCUGCAGAGGCUGUGGGAACAGUAACUUCGACAGGAGCCAGGGGGCCAGGAGACAUGAUUGAACACCUUCUGUCCCAUGUAGGUGGAAAUCACCACCUAUCGGUCCCUGGGGUUCCAGACCUUUGCUCGACUGGAGACCAGGCUGUCUGUGCGCAUCCAACUGCCCCACAGACCAUGAUCUAGCUGGAGUUGAGUUUUGUGUGGGAUGAGUGAUGAUAAGGAUUUACUUUCUUCUAACAGAGCUUCCAGUAUGACCAGCACCAGUUGCUGAUGAGGCUAUCUUUUCUCCAAUGGGUAGUUUUAGUCUUUGUCAAAAAUCAGAUGGCAAUAGGGGCGUGGGUUUCCAUUUACAAACUCAACUCCAUAUCAUUGAUAAAUGUGUAUAGACUUAUGCUAGUACCCUACUGUGGUGUUUGUUUGUUUUUUAAAUUACUGUAGCUCUGUAGAAAUCAGGUGUGGUGACACCUCUGGCAGUGAUUUUAUUAUUCAAGAUUGUUUUGCCUAUCCUGGGCCUUUUGUUUUUCCAUAUUUAAGAUUAUUAUUCAAAUUCAUAUUCGGAAACACAUUAGACAUUUGAUGAGGAUCGUGUCGUCACUGAAAUCGCCUUUGGUUGGGUGGGCGUUUUCACAAUAUUAAUCUAGCCAACACAUGAGUGAAUAUGGAAGGGGGUUCCAUCUUCAGGAACUGUCUUCUGCUUCCUUUUUUUCUUUCCAUUAUCUUAAAAUCUUCAUUAUACAAGUUUUUCACUCCCUUGGUUUGUGUCCUAGUUAGGGUUUUUAUUGCUGUGAUAAAGUAACCAUGAUCAAAAGCAACAUGGGGAGAAAGGGUUUGCUUCAUCUUUACACUUCCAGGUAACAGUACAUAACAGGAGCAAGUCAGGGGAGGAACUCAAGCAGGGCAGGAACCCGGAGACAGGAACUGAACCUGAGGCCAUGGAGGAGUGCUGCUUACUGGAUUAUUCUCCAUGGCUUGCCCAAUCUGCUUUCUCAUACCACCAGGAACCGGACUCAUGGAUGGCACUACCUAUAAUGGGUUGGGACCACAUACAUCAGUCAAUUAAAAUUAUGCCCCAACAGGCUUACCUACUAGCCAAUGUGGUGGGGUCAUUAUCUCAGUUGAGUUUUUUUUUUUUUCUUAAAUAGCUCCAGGCUGUGUUAAGUUGACAUAAAAACUAGCCAGCACACUAUGAGAGUACUAAUUUCUUCAAAAUAAUAUCUUUGUUAUUUGAGAAUUCCACAAUGUAUUCUGAUCAUAUACAUUCCCUUCCCCACAGCUACUCCUAGAUUGAGCUUCAUCUCCCUACCCACCCAACUUCACAUUUUUUUAUAUCUUAAACCUGUCAAGUCAGUUUGUGUUGGCCAGCUACUCUUGGCUGUAGAAUCUAUUAUGGAGUGUAGUCAGUGUAAGUUCACACCGUAAGGAAACUGCCUCUGCCCCUGCAAGCAGCUAAUAAAGGCCAGUAGCUCCUAAACUAAGGGAGGGACUACAUUUGUACCUUGCAUGCCCUGGUGCUGGGAUUUUGUUGGCCUUGAGUUUGUGUGGGUCUUGAGCAAGCCAUGACAAUAGAUCUAACUACAACUGUACUGCUGCUGUGUCAAGAACAUACUGUUUCCUUGAAGUCAUCCAUCACCUCUGGCUCUUACAAUUUUUCCAUGCCUCUUCUUCAAAGGCCCCUGAGCCGUGAGGGGAGAGGUAUAAUGGGAACAUCCUGUUAGGGCUGAGUAGCCUAAAGUCUCUUACUCUCAGCAUACUGACCAUUUGUAUAUUAGCCAUUGUUAAUGGCAGGCUGCAGGUAGAUGGAUGGUGCUUUCUGUGGAAGGUGUUCAGUCCAUGUGGUCCUAAGGUAACAGGGGUAGAUUUACAGUAUGGGCGGGAGUUACUACCUGGCAUGCCCCAGGUCUCCUGGUGCGCUGGUAGCAGGGGUGGAAGAUCGUCUUUUCUCCAUUGAGUAGGCUUGGUACCCUUAUCAAAAUCAUUUUUGCAGUGUAUGCAAGGGUUUAUUUAUGCUGCCUAUUUUAACAGCUGGAAACAUCAAAAUCAUGACUAUUGAAUGCUGUGGAGAAAUUGGUAUUCUUACCAUGUUUAAUAAUGUUUUUAUGACUAUAUAAUAAAAGGAAAACUUUAUC
rnacentral:lncRNA from 1 species